rnacentral:rRNA from 1 species
UGGGGAAUCUUGCACAAUGGGCGCAAGCCUGAUGCAGCCAUGCCGCGUGUGUGAAGAAGGCUUUCGGGUUGUAAAGCACUUUCAGCGGGGAGGAAGGCGAUAAGGUUAAUAACCUUGUCGAUUGACGUUACCCGCAGAAGAAGCACCGGCUAACUCCGUGCCAGCAGCCGCGGUAAUACGGAGUGUGCAAGCGUUAUUCGGAAUUACUGAGCGUAAAGCGCACGCAGGCGGUCUGUCAAGUCGGAAGUGAAAUCCCCGGGCUCAACCUGGGAACUGCAUUCGAAACUAGCAGGCUAGAGUCUUGUAGAGGGGGGUAGAAUUCCAGGUGUAGCGGUGAAAUGCGUAGAGAUCUGGAGGAAUACCGGUGGCGAAAGCGGCCCCCUGGACAAAAACUGACACUCAAGUGCGAAAGCGUGGGGAGCAAGCAGG